rnacentral:tRNA from 4 species
GGACGUGGCUCAGUUGGUAGAGCAUCACCUUGCCAAGGUGAGGGUCGCGGGUUCGAAUCCCGUCGUCCG